GCGGUCCUAACUUGAAUGGUUUUCAAAAAUAUGGUUUUCUUUUCUUUUACUAUAGGCUAUAUAUAACUUUGACUUUGAGUGUGUUGGCAAUAAAAUGAUGAUUAAUAAGUUGAUGCUCAUCCAUAAUUGUGACAUUUCCGUGGUUGCCGCUUUAACUGACAUGUAUGAAUCUGAACCGACACAUGAUAAAGACAUGAAGAUGGAAAAAAGUGUUAAAAAGUACUGAGUUGUAAAGACCAACAAACAGAUCAGCCUUUUUUUUUCAUUUUGGUGUUGUAGGGAGGAAUUUAUGAAGAAUAGGAUGAAUGAGGAUGGAUUCUAUUUGAAGUGGAUGGAAAAGCUUUUGAGAAGCAUUUCAAAGCAGGAAACUUUGUUACCAUGGAUAUAUGCCAAGAAAAAUCUCUUGAGGAGUGAAAAGGUUCCAUGCUCAUGUCCAACCUCUGGAUCUGACAUAUAGGAACUAAUUCAUUUUGGAAGGCAAGUCAAGUUGUGGCUAUUGUGAGUUCAUUCGUAGUACUAGUUGUUACUGGUACAAUUAGUUUAAUUAUAUACCAAUAUUCUGCUUUUAAUAAUGUAUAGGUUGGGAUCCAGCUUCCAAAAGUAAUGCCCUUUGUUGGGCUUCUAGUUAAUUAGAUUUAUGGUCUUCUUCUUCAUCAUAUGGAAGUGUGCAUCAUGUUCAUUUGAUGGACAAGAAGAAAUAUAUGUUUGUACCUUAAUGAUGUCGAUUGACGACAGUGGAUGGUUUUUUUAAUGAAUAUAUAUAAGUUCGACUCU